rnacentral:rRNA from 1 species
UACGUAGGGGGCAAGCGUUGUCCGGAUUUAUUGGGCGUAAAGAGCGUGUAGGCGGCCAGGUAGGUCUGCUGUGAAAACUCGAGGCUCAACCUCGAGACGUCGGCGGAAACCAUCUGGCUAGAGUCCGGAAGAGGAGAGUGGAAUUCCUGGUGUAGCGGUGAAAUGCGCAGAUAUCAGGAAGAACACCAAUUGCGAAGGCAGCGCGCUGGGACGUAACUGACGCUGAGACGCGAAAGCGUGGGGAGCAAACAGG